rnacentral:rRNA from 1 species
UACGGGGGGGGCAAGCGUUGUUCGGAAUUACUGGGCGUAAAGGGCUCGUAGGCGGCCAACUAAGUCAGACGUGAAAUCCCUCGGCUUAACCGGGGAACUGCGUCUGAUACUGGAUGGCUUGAAUUCGGGAGAGGGAUGCAGAAUUCCAGGUGUAGCGGUGAAAUGCGUAGAUAUCUGGAGGAAUACCGGUGGCGAAGGCGGCAUCCUGGACCGAUAUUGACACUGAUGAGCGAAAGCUAGGGGAGCAAACGGG